GAACUUUUCCUUUCUUUCCAGAACAUCCACUUGUCAGAUAACAGAUCUGCUCGCCGCUCUCUCCAUUGCCAACCUGUGCACCGCAUCUAAUAAAACCAUAAAAGAUUAGAGUUGCAAGCUAGAGAUAAACUUCUUUCUAUCUGCUGGAUCCAUGGCUACAGCUACAGAUGAAUGUCUUCCUAUCUGCUAGAUCCAUGCCUACAGCUAGAGAUGAACUUCUUAGUGCUAUCUGCUAAAACCAUGCCUACAGGAAUCCAAUGCCUUACCAUCGUUAUCUGAAUGAUCUUCAAUUGUCUCUUUGUCAUGUGGGCCUUGAACAUCAUUAGGAAUUAAUGGUGGACCGUGAGGACCUGGAACAUCAUCAAUGGUUGGUGGACCGUGAGGACCUGGAACAUCAUCAAUGGUUGGUGGACCGCGAGGACCUGGAACAUCAUCAAUGGUUGGUGGACCGUGAGGACCUCGAAAAUUUAAAAAAGGUUAUUAGACUUGGGCUUCCUGUGGUCUUACCGUUUUCGGCCACCAAGCUUGACCUGAUCCGUGAGCAACCAUUCUGACUGAGAUCCCAGUKAUGGAGCCUAGAUC